UACGAAGGGUGCAAGCGUUAAUCGGAAUUACUGGGCGUAAAGCGUGCGUAGGUGGUCUUUUAAGUCCGUUGUGAAAGCCCUGGGCUCAACCUGGGAAUGGCAGUGGAUACUGGAAGGCUGGAGUACGGUAGAGGAGGGUGGAAUUCCCGGUGUAGCGGUGAAAUGCGUAGAGAUCGGGAGGAACAUCAGUGGCGAAGGCGGCCCUCUGGACCAGUACUGACGCUGAGGCACGAAAGCGUGGGGAGCAAACAGGAUUAGAUACCCUGGUAGUCCACGCCCUAAACGAUGCGAACUGGACGUUGGUCACAACUCGGUGAUCAGUGUCGAAGCUAACGCGUUAAGUUCGCCGCCUGGGGAGUACGCUCGCAAGAGUGAA
rnacentral:rRNA from 1 species